AUGGCCAUGCGUGCACUGUGCUUCUGAGCGCGCCGUCCGCAUCCACCUGAAGGCCGCUACGUUUUGUUAGCC
rnacentral:sRNA from 2 species